CUUACAAUUUAGGAUGAAUAAAGUGCUGUCCCAGGAUGAGAAAAUUCAGGCACAGUGAGAACCGAAGAACAAUCGAAGACAGCAAAAUGUGUUAGCUUAAUUAGCAAAGUAGCUUAGUUUGUCUCGUCUCAAUACCCAUCAAGUGGCAGGGUUCAACCCAGAAUGUCAGUGCAAAUGCAAUGUCAGUGCUUCUAUGGUUAGAUGAAAUGGGCACAGACUAUGUGACACCAAAGUUCACAGAUGAAACCAAUCUAAGCCUCAGGACAUGAGAGUACAAUACUGGACGAGUUGAUAUCAACUCGUAGCCUUUUAGUUAUAGGAUGUAAGCUCUACACACCUUAUUCUGUAUCUAGGAAUAUUGUAUAUCUAAGCAGGGGUGCCCAACCUUGGCAACUUUGAGGCCUGUGGACUUCAGCUACCAGAAUUAUCCAGCCAGGCAUGAGAAUACUGGGAGUCCACACAUGUGGUAUAAACCUCUACACACCUUAUUCUAUACCUAAGCAGGGAUGCCCAAUCUUGGCAACUUUAAGGCUUAUGGACUUCAACUCCCAGAAUUCCUAUGGCUGGCUGGAGAAUUCUGCCAGCUGAAGUCCACAGGCCUCAAAGUUGCCAAGGGUGGACACCCCUGAUCUAAAGUAGUAUAUCAAGUAGAGAUCUACUUACCCCUUCUUGAAAAGGUCCAAUGAUGGUGAAGUCAUACAUAAAGUUUAAGUACAACAGAUUAUUUAUUAUCCUAACAACCACCACUCUUCAAAAGCCUUAAGAAAGACACAGCUAGGUUGACCAAAUCUACAGCUUCUAAUGAAGGCUUUACACACUAUCAUCUUGGUGUAUGUUCAUGGAUUAUUAUAGCUGUACACGAUUUUUUUUUUUACACAUAAUUGCCUGACACCAACAGAAGAUAAGGGCGUUUUGCACUAGGAUAUCCAUUUUGGUGGUCCUACCCACGAAUCGAAUGCCAUGGAGUCCGCCGGU